CACAGUAGUUACCGCAUUCUGACCUGAUCUUGUCAGAUCUCGGAAGCUAAGCAAAGCAGGACUUGGUCAGUACUGGGAUGGUAAACGUCUAAAAGAAAUCCAGGUUUCUGCAGUAA
rnacentral:rRNA from 1 species